GUGAUUGUCCCAAAGCUUCCUGGGCUGAUGGGAAGCCCUGAGGAGCAUCGGGACCUGCAGAGAACCUCCUCCUGACUGAGGGAGAAACCAGCUAGAAACGUUGAGGCAGAGAGAAAAGAGAUUCCUCCACAGCACAACCUGAGGAGUAAAAGGAGCGUGGAGCAUUUAGUGUUGUUUGCCAUCCUGAGCAGAACCCCACCCUGCUUCACUUGUUACUGCAACGGGUAUUCCCAGCUGUCUCUGAAAAGAGCAGAUUUGAUCCUUUGCAAACCUUGUGUGUAUCGGACCACGCGUUGGCGCACGAAGAAACCAAACAGCCACAGGAGCGCCUCUGGUAUUCAGGCAGCCAUUACAAUGCCCUUGGAGCAUCUUUAGCUCUUAGAAAUGAAGCCCAGUGCUGAUGCCAGAAAACAUCCUGGGCUUGAAUGUGCCCUUACUUGUGCAGGGCUGGCAGCAGUCCAGCACACAGCUCUCUGCGCUCCGGUGGUGUCUCCAGGAGUUAACCAGGGGGAAGGCGGAUGGAUGGCAAAGAAUUUGCUCAGGGGUGAUGGCUUGCUGCACUCCUCCCUUGUUGGACGGUGAGCAUCACCACACUGCAGGGCUUUCCUUUGCCAACACAGAACUCAUGAAGGCAGCAGAGGAGCAAGGCAGGGAUUUUCUACUUCACGCAGAUGCUGGGAAGAUAGAGCUAAAACCUCUCUCCUCUGCAGCUUUAGUACAGAUCUCAGUAGCUCCUCCUGCAUGGGAUGAUAGCACAGCCAAGUCAGCAUGGUGUCGUCUUGCAAAUGGAUUCUGACGAUAAUCACAAUUAUUUUUCCUGCUGGGGACAAACUUCUGCAGUGGCAGUUUCAUCUAUUGAUGUUGGACCUAAUGGACCCUUGAGCACGGACAGAGCUCGGACGGAGUACAACCCACCAUCCUCAUGGCCAUCUUGAGCCAGCUCUCAGAGGGGAAUCUUUUAUAGUUAAAUGUAUAUGGCCAUGCAGUGUUAGUUACAGCUUCCUUUCAGAUGCAGAUAUACAGCAGCUUUGGUCUGGUGACUUCCUCCCCUGCAGUACUGCACAGCUGUAAGGAAGCUGUGAUGGCUCUGAGGAAGGAGUUCGGGUUCUGCAGCUGAUGUUCCCAUCUCCAGCAUAUGGAGGGGCUUAGUGCUGCUGUAGGAGCUGCUACUGUGCACCGAGCCAUGCCUGAGGAAUGGGGAUAUUCAUACUGAGGAAAUAUGCCACCAGCCUAUGUUGCUGCUCUGAGCUUGCUCCCAUACCACGGUUCUUGUGCCAGCUGUUUGACACUGCACAGGCUGGAAAGAGCCUUGCACGUGUGAAGCAUGCUGCUGGGAGCACCACGUCUGCAGCUGCUGCUGCAAGUUGCAGCUGAAUGUGCUUUGAGGUAUGCCGGGAUUUGGGGAUAGAGGUGCGAGUCUGGCAACAGAGCCACUUGACCCUGAGGUUGGGAGGUGGCAUUGCAGAUCCAUCUUGGAGACACGAUGAUCACCUGGUGCCUUGGCCCCUUUUUCUUCUCUUAGCUCAGUACCACCAAGCCAGCUCCUUGUAGUGGACAAUCAGCCCUGCAGGUUGUUUGGUGCCUCCAAAGAUUCUGCUCCAGAAGCCUCCUUGGUUCAGUGCCUGGCAUCACCUGCAGGGCAGAAAGUGCCAUCAUUCAGCAGACAGCGUGCAAAGUGCCAUCUGGUGCAAGUGGGCUGGGGGGGGAAUUAAAAUGUGCUCUCAGAGGAAGAAGAGGCUGCAGACACGUGUUCAUCAGCUCCUGUGUCACUAGCAGGCUGGAGGAAUGCUGGAGCACGUUUAAAGCAGCAGCUUAAUUAAAUGGUGCUGCAGUUCUCACCUUGCCUCUAACUGUCUCUAGCUGUUGGCUUAUUGCAUCUAGCCUCAUGUUCCGAAAGGGAAGAACAACCAUGCACGUAGCCAAAAAUCUAGGUUGCUGGCCAAAAGCAUCCCAGAGCAUCUGGCUUGACCUCAGAGGAAUCACCCUGCUUCUGCUGCUGACCACUCUCCGUGCCUCUGAUCUCUGCAGCUCCUUGACAUUGUCUGUGAGAGGAGAACACACAGCAAAGGCUGGUUUGCAAAGAGAGGCAGCUGCUGUCACCUCCUGCCCUGUCAGUAGCACUGGUGCAUCUGCUCCCCACCCCAGAGCAGCUUCUGUGUGAGGAUGCUGUGCUGCUUGCAGGGGAUGUCCAGCUGUGAGCAUCCUUGGGGACCAGUGAACAACACCGGGCAGCUAUGCUUCAGCACUGUCCUUCGAGGAGUUUUGGUCCUUGCUACAGCACUAUUCCCAAAGAUGAGCAUCGGGAACCACAAGCACCUUUCCCCGUCUUUUUGCAUUUGUGGGAUCUGACCUACUUUUUGUAAUUGCAGCACAACAGCCUCCCUUGUUUUCUGACUUGCAGGAGCAGCAGUGCCUUGUGCUGCAAUAAGCUGCACCUUAGCAAAUUUGCUCCAAGGAAGGAAGGCAGUUACAGGGGAGGCCGAUGGCACUGCUCACGUGGUGACCUCCCACUCCUCCAUGGAUCCCACAGCCACAUGUAUCUGUGCACCAAUGGCCAUAGCUUUCCCCGAGGGUGCAUCUGGAUUUUGGGAUGCAGGGAUGAAGCCACUUCUAUACCAUGGUUUGCAAGGGGGCACAGCUAGGAGCAUCCCCAUGGAGAAAUUUUGCUCUUCUGCUGCCCAUGCACUGUCUGAUGAGCAGCUGCUGAGAGCCAGGGAGAGGCACCCAGGAUGUGCUGUGGGCUUUGGGAGGACCAAGUUCCAACAGCAGGGGAACAGCAAUGCACACUCUUUCCCCUUGUAAAUAUUUCUUCCAAAGACACUGCAGCUGUCUGGGAUGCUCCUACACAACAGCGAGUCCACUUGAAAUUCUUCAGUCGGGGAAAAAAAAAAGCACACCAAAAACACCCUGGAGGAUGAUCAAAGGUGAAUGAGAAGCUUGGCCACGGAGCAGACCCCAGUGGAGAUAGCAGUUCUUUAAGGCUUUCAAGCAGCUGACAAGAAACCAUCAAGUUCUGAGAGCUCCACUCCUAUGAAAGUCAACAGUCCUUCAAGAAAGAGGACCCAACUUGCUGGAGUGGCUUAUCUGGACCGGAGCCUACUCCUACCCAAGACCUGAAAGACCUCAGGGAAGAUGUCAGUGGAGGCAGCCAGAAGACUGGGGAGCCUCAGUGGUCUCAAAAGCAAGCCACAAGAAAACACUGUCACCUGAUGUGGGUCAUGGUUGGGCAGUAAUACCGAUGGCCAAAGUGUGGGGGUCACCGUGGGGAGGACUAGUGCUGGAGGAAGAGGUUGAGUCACGUUCUCUGGGGUUAAUUAUAUGGUGGAUGCUGAUGAACUAGGCAAAGAGCUUAAAAUCUAUAAGGAAUUUGUAAUGGGAAUUUAUCUUCAUACCUAUACUGCUAUUGAUCAAAAUGGUAGUCAGCAGAUGUUCAGACCCUAUUGAUCAGCUUGGAUAUAUUAUCGGUGGCUGUAUUCUAAAUAGAGUUCAGUGCACUAAGGGAAUUUUUUCCUUGUCUUUAUUUCUAUUUUCCUGUCACCAUGACAAUGUAUAUGUAAACAUUUCUUAUUUAAAAAUAUCAAAUAUGAGAGCAGAUUUGAAGUAUUUUGGAAUUUAAGUGCUGGGAUCAGAAUAACAUGUGUGGUGAUUUGACAUGAGCUGAAAAUAUACCCAAAGGCUCCUUUCCAGCAUGCUGACAAAACAUAUAAAUUAGCCUGGCAAGGGUCUGGCUCUCACCGGAGCACAGUGCAGAGUCCUGAUCCAGAGGAGCAGCCACUGCCCCAGAUAUGCAGUGAAUCAUCAUUUUUCUAGCAGAG
ensembl:lncRNA